rnacentral:rRNA from 1 species
GCCCUUAGAGUUUGAUCCUGGCUCAGAUUGAACGCUGGCGGCAUGCUUUACACAUGCAAGUCGAACGGCAGCACGGGGGCAACCCUGGUGGCGAGUGGCGAACGGGUGAGUAAUAUAUCGGAACGUACCCAAGAGUGGGGGAUAACGUAGCGAAAGUUACGCUAAUACCGCAUACGAUCUCAGGAUGAAAGUGGGGGACCGCAAGGCCUCACGCUCCUGGAGCGGCCGAUAUCUGAUUAGCUAGUAGGUAGGGUAAAGGCCUACCUAGGCGACGAUCAGUAGCUGGUCUGAGAGGACGACCAGCCACACUGGAACUGAGACACGGUCCAGACUCCUACGGGAGGCAGCAGUGGGGAAUUUUGGACAAUGGGGGCAGCCCUGAUCCAGCAAUGCCGCGUGAGUGAAGAAGGCCUUCGGGUUGUAAAGCUCUUUUGUCAGGGAAGAAACGGGUCUGGAUAAUACCUGGGCUUAAUGACGGUACCUGAAGAAUAAGCACCGGCUAACUACGUGCCAGCAGCCGCGGUAAUACGUAGGGUGCAAGCGUUAAUCGGAAUUACUGNGCGUNNGCGUGCGCAGGCGGUUUUAUAAGUUUGUCGUGA